UACGGGGGGAGCAAGCGUUGUUCGGAUUUACUGGGCGUAAAGGGCGCGUAGGCGGUCAGCACAAGUCAGUUGUGAAAUCUCCGGGCUUAACUCGGAAAGGUCAACUGAUACUGUGCGACUAGAGUGCAGAAGGGGCAACUGGAAUUCUCGGUGUAGCGGUGAAAUGCGCAGAUAUCAGGAGGAACACCGAUGGCGAAGGCAGGUCUCUGGGCAUUAACUGACGCUGAGGAGCGAAAGCAUGGGGAGCGAACAGG
rnacentral:rRNA from 1 species